rnacentral:lncRNA from 1 species
CUAGUUAGGGGAGGCAGCCGGCCCGGAGGGUGUGGGGCUCCAGGGGCUGGCCGCUUUUCACUCGCCCGUAACUCCCGCCCUGCGCUCUGGUGUCCCCUCGGAUGCGGUGCUGACCGAGUGCCAUCCCGAUUUCACUCGACCGAGUCGGAGCCGCAGCCCACGGAGGAAGCUGCAAGGGCUGGGCAGAGUUCCAAGCGAGAGGGGCCGAGAGGCGCGAGCUGCGCUCCGCGGCGCCCGUCCGAGAGGUGGAGCAGCGGCCCCUUUGUGGGCCGGCACAUCCCCCUCCCGGGUGCACAGCGGGGACAUUUGAUCCGCGGGGUGAUUGAUACGUGCGGGCGGGGGCCGCCAUUCCUCCCUCCCCCUCUCCUUCCUCCUCCCCCCUCCGCCCUCCUUCCCUCCUCCCUCCUGGCUGCUCCCUCCUUGCUGCCAGAAGCGCUGCCCGGUGGCGAGCCGCUCCGGUGGGAUCUGCCUGCCCUUGGGGGCGCCGCCCGCGCUCGCCGCCAAGCCCUCGCUCCCCGGCCGCGCCGGUCCGAGGCCGCGCCGCCUCCCGCGCCUCCCGGUCGCAGAUGCUGCGGGCGCCUCCGGGGGAACCUCCGGGCGGCGCGCUCGCCGGAUGCCAAACUACUGGCGGACCGCAGAGGAGAGGGGUCCCGUCUUCUCCUGAUGUGUUUGCCUGUAGGUACCUGAGCU